GACGAACCGUGCGAACGUUAUUCGGAAUCACUGGGCGUAAAGCGUGCGCAGGCGGUUUGUUAAGUCCGCUGUGAAAGCCCCGGGCUCAACUUGGGAAUGGCGGUGGAAACUGGCGGGCUUGAGUGUGGCAGAGGGGGGUGGAAUUCCGCGUGUAGCAGUGAAAUGCGUAGAGAUGCGGAGGAACACCGAUGGCGAAGGCAGCCCCCUGGGCUAACACUGACGCUCGGGCACGAAAGCGUGGGGAGCAAACAGG
rnacentral:rRNA from 1 species